rnacentral:ncRNA from 1 species
AAAAGUUUUAUUUUAGCUUAAGAUUUUUUAUUUUUUCCUUUAUUUUCAUGUGAAUUUUAUUUUAAAAAAUAUUUGUCUGCAGUAAUUAGUAUUAUAAAUUUAGGAAAUUAAGAUUUAGAAAUGGAUUUUUGUUCUGACCUAUUUUGUGCCAGCAGUCGCGGUUAAACAAAUAGAGCUAAUGAAAAUUUUUGGUUUGUAGUUUGUGAUUUUUAUAGUUUAUUAUUAAUAUUUUUAGGUGAAAUUUAAAUUUUAAUGUAUUUAUUUUUUUUUCAUGAUUCUACUAAAUUAAUAUUUAGACUAGGAUUAGAUACCCUAUUAUUAAUAAUGUAAAUUUAUAUCCUGGUUAGUAUUAGUUAUUUUCUUGAAAACAAAAAAAUUUGGCGGUAUUUUAGUCUAUUCAGAGGAACCUGUCCUUUAAUUGAUAAUCCACGAUUAAUUCUACUUAAUUUUAUAGUUUGUAUAUCGUCGUGGUUGAUUAUUUUAUAAGAAAUAAUAAUCAUUUUUCUUUUUAGGAAUAAAUUCAGAUCAAGAUGCAUUUAUAAUUGAGAUUGAGAUGGGUUACAAUAAAUUUAUUUUAUGGUUUAAAUUUUAAAAUUUUUAUUAAAUUGGAUUUGAAAGUAAUUUUUAAUUAUAUUUUAAAAAUGAUUUAGCUCUAAAAUAUGUACAUAUCGCCCGUCACUUCCAGGGAUGGAAUAAGUCGUAACAAAGUAGGUGUACUGGAAAGUGUCCCUAGAAAGAAC